CGUAGUCUGCCAUACGCAGGAAGACCCGCUGAACUGAAGCAUCUCAUUAAGCGGAGGAAAAGAAACUAACUAGGAUUCCCUUAGUAAAGGCGAUCGAAAAGGGAACAGCCCAACGUCUUAAUCCCGCAAGGGAAAUGUAGUCGGUUCACCUAUUGCACUGGUCUAAGUCAGAUGGAAUGCUGCGCGAUUCAGAGUAAAAGCCUCGUAUGACCAACCGCAAGCUUACGAUGGACCGGGGAGAGUCGGAUACUUUGAGAGUAGUGUCUUAAGGGGGUGGUAUGUCCCAUCCAAGGCUAAAUAACGUGAGGAGACCGAUAGAUUACAAGUAGUGUGAACGAAAGAUGAAAAGAACUCUAAAACAGAGGGUGAAAAGUUCCUGAACUUGCUUAGGGUUAAGGCUAUUUAUAGUACCCGUCUUGAAACACGGAUUAGGGAGUUUAUCUGUAGUGCGAGUCUUUGCACGUUAACUGUAAAGGCGUAGAGAAAGCAACUGGCGUUUGCAUGGCUACUGAGCAUUACUGAUAGGACCCGAAAGGUGGUGAACUUUGCCUGCACAGGUUGAAGUCAGGGGAAACUCUGAUGGAGGACCGUACGGGUUAUUGAUGUGCAAAUCAUUUUUCUGAUGUAGGUAAAGGUGCGAAAGACUCAUCGAACCACAUAAUAGCUGGUUUCCUCCGAAGUAUCCCUCAGGAUAGCUGUAAUGCAUUUAGUUAAGGGGAGUAGAGAUAUGGGUAGAGGUGCAGGGAGCCUUCGGGUUCUCAACUUAUUUCCAAACUUCGAACCUCCUUGUUAGGCAUUUACCUAACUGGAAAUGCUUAAAUGAAUUAGCGUUACAAGUGGGCUCUGACCGGUAAGCGGUCAUGGCGAAAUGGGAUGAACCAUACGUCUGAAUAAGGUGCCGAAAUGUACUAUCACUGAUACCAUAAAGGGAGUCCAUGUAUUUAGACAGCAGGUCGGUGCCCCUAAAAGCAGGUAUCCGCUAAAGAGUGUGUUAAAACUCACCUGCCGAAUACUAGGGCCCCGAAAAUGAAUGGCGCAUAUAGUACUACCGAUCUCAGACAUCAGUUCUAUUGAACUGAGAGUAGGGGGAUGUGGACAUUUUUGUGAAGGUGCAAUGUGAGUUGGACUGGAAGAAUGUCUAUUACAGAUCCUAAUUGAAGUAGCGAUUAUCCAGGCUUGUAUCCUGGGGGCUGAUGAGGAGUAGGGUUUCUGGACAACUUAAACAGAUCCAGAGUUAGUCGAUCCUAAUCUCAAUAAUGGGAGAAAGGGAGUACAGUUGAUAUUCUGUAACUGACAACAGUUCGCGGCAACGCAUACUAUUUUUCUCCGCCAAUCUUAUACCGUUGGUAGGGAUCUCUUUCCUACAUGACAGUACUAAUACCCAGGGAAACUGGUCAUCAGGCGAACUGCGGCGUUCUGCUGGCAAAACAUAGCUUCGGUUAUGUCAAUGGCUAUUGGAUUGGUCCAUGAAGCGAAAAAUAGUUUACUGUGUCACUCGUACCGAUAACCGCAUCAGGUCUUCUAGGUAAGUAGCCUA
rnacentral:rRNA from 1 species